UACGUAGGGUGCAAGCGUUAAUCGGAAUUACUGGGCGUAAAGCGUGCGCAGGCGGUUCUAUAAGACAGAUGUGAAAUCCCCGGGCUCAACCUGGGAACUGCAUUUGUGACUGUAGAGCUGGAGUGCGGCAGAGGGGGAUGGAAUUCCGCGUGUAGCAGUGAAAUGCGUAGAUAUGCGGAGGAACACCGAUGGCGAAGGCAGCCCCCUGGGUCAAAACUGACGCUCAUGCACGAAAGCGUGGGGAGCAAACAGG
rnacentral:rRNA from 1 species